AAGCACAUAUAUUAAUUACAAAAUUAACAUUUUAAUUACAAAACUAAUUCAUUAGGUUAACGUUUUAACAUGGGAUGACACUUGGUGACUUUACUUGCAUUAGCUCUGUGAACACAAAAAUCAUGGACAUGAUUCAGAUAUGUUAAAGGGUCAGGAGAAAAAGUCACACUUGGCUCCUUUGAGGUUAAAAAUGGCCCCAUAGGAAAUUAAUAGGAAAUACGAAAACUCUGAGAAUCUUUUGGUGGUACAAACUACAAAUCAACCACUGUGCAGAAAAAAGUGCACAGCAAUAUCUAAAAUAUCAAGAGCAAAACAGACACAUCCACCCCACACUAGUGUGACUAUAAAACUGAGCAAGUUUUCGCAAAUGCUAAAUAUCAAGAAAAUCAAGAAUUCAGCCACUAUGCAGGAAAAAAACAUCAAGAUACAAGUUUAAACACGCACACAAAUGAACUGGUGUGGCUGUAACAAUUAUGGUAACACUGAGCCAAAAGACUCAAAAAAGAGAAAAAAAGUUAAGAAAAAGAAAGAAAAUUAUAGAAGUAAAAGAGAUUCAUCCAAUCACUGAUCGUGCUGCAGUGAGAGACACCCCUAAGAGCCAAUAGUAGCGGCGCAUUCAUAAGUCCCGCCCACUGGUCGCGCCGGCGCUGCUUUCAGCGUGAGCAGAUGAGAGAGAGAGAGAGAGAGAGAGAGAGAGAGAGAGAGUCAGAGCAGAUCAGCACAGAGCAGACAGUUUCUCCAGAAAAUCCACUCAUCUAACUGGAGAUGUGAUUGAGUGCACUGAAAGCGGAGCUUUUGAAGUCGAUGCGUCAGCCUGAAGAGAGAGACGGAGCGGAUCCCAGAGUGCAUCAGCGCUACCCAAAGGAAAAGGACAGUGAUUCCCAAACCACAGAGAAAUGAAUGACUGUUGAGGAGUAUCAAGACACAACCUUGACAGAGACUCAGAAGAGGCUGGAAAAAAUGGAGGAGAACGAAAAAUUGAGAAAUGGUGACAAAAAAGCGGUGUUGAACCUGUGAUGCUGGCCCGCCACCCAACGCGAAACGUCGGCAAAAUAGUCUCAAUCGUUUGUGCUGCUUUGGUUUUUAGAUAUUAAAAGAAUAUUUAUCCA